CCUACGGGCGGCAGCAGUGGGGAAUAUUGCACAAUGGGCGCAAGCCUGAUGCAGCCAUGCCACGUGUGUGAAGAAGGCCUUCGGGUUGUAAAGCACUUUCAGCGGGGAGGAAGGCGGUGAGGUUAAUAACCUCAUCGAUUGACGUUACCCGCAGAAGAAGCACCGGCUAACUCCGUGCCAGCAGCCGCGGUAAUACGGAGGGUGCAAGCGUUAAUCGGAAUUACUGGGCGUAAAGCGCACGCAGGCGGUCUGUCAAGUCGGAUGUGAAAUCCCCGGGCUCAACCUGGGAACUGCAUUCGAAACUGGCAGGCUAGAGUCUUGUAGAGGGGGGUAGAAUUCCAGGUGUAGCGGUGAAAUGCGUAGAGAUCUGGAGGAAUACCGGUGGCGAAGGCGGCCCCCUGGACAAAGACUGACGCUCAGGUGCGAAAGCGUGGGGAGCAAACAGGAUUAGAUACCCUAGUAGUC
rnacentral:rRNA from 1 species